rnacentral:rRNA from 1 species
UGAAGAGUUUGAUCAUGGCUCAGAUUGAACGCUGGCGGCAGGCCUAACACAUGCAAGUCGAACGGUAACAGGAAGCAGCUUGCUGCUUCGCUGACGAGUGGCGGACGGGUGAGUAAUGUCUGGGAAACUGCCUGAUGGAGGGGGAUAACUACUGGAAACGGUGGCUAAUACCGCAUAACGUCGCAAGACCAAAGAGGGGGACCUUCGGGCCUCUUGCCAUCAGAUGUGCCCAGAUGGGAUUAGCUUGUUGGUGAGGUAACGGCUCACCAAGGCGACGAUCCCUAGCUGGUCUGAGAGGAUGACCAGCCACACUGGAACUGAGACACGGUCCAGACUCCUACGGGAGGCAGCAGUGGGGAAUAUUGCACAAUGGGCGCAAGCCUGAUGCAGCCAUGCCGCGUGUAUGAAGAAGGCCUUCGGGUUGUAAAGUACUUUCAGCGGGGAGGAAGGUGUUGUGGUUAAUAACCGCAGCAAUUGACGUUACCCGCAGAAGAAGCACCGGCUAACUCCGUGCCAGCAGCCGCGGUAAUACGGAGGGUGCAAGCGUUAAUCGGAAUUACUGGGCGUAAAGCGCACGCAGGCGGUCUGUCAAGUCGGAUGUGAAAUCCCCGGGCUCAACCUGGGAACUGCAUUCGAAACUGGCAGGCUUGAGUCUUGUAGAGGGGGGUAGAAUUCCAGGUGUAGCGGUGAAAUGCGUAGAGAUCUGGAGGAAUACCGGUGGCGAAGGCGGCCCCCUGGACAAAGACUGACGCUCAGGUGCGAAAGCGUGGGGAGCAAACAGGAUUAGAUACCCUGGUAGUCCACGCCGUAAACGAUGUCUACUUGGAGGUUGUGCCCUUGAGGCGUGGCUUCCGGAGCUAACGCGUUAAGUAGACCGCCUGGGGAGUACGGCCGCAAGGUUAAAACUCAAAUGAAUUGACGGGGGCCCGCACAAGCGGUGGAGCAUGUGGUUUAAUUCGAUGCAACGCGAAGAACCUUACCUGGUCUUGACAUCCACAGAAGAAUCCAGAGAUGGAUUUGUGCCUUCGGGAACUGUGAGACAGGUGCUGCAUGGCUGUCGUCAGCUCGUGUUGUGAAAUGUUGGGUUAAGUCCCGCAACGAGCGCAACCCUUAUCCUUUGUUGCCAGCGAUUAGGUCGGGAACUCAAAGGAGACUGCCAGUGAUAAA